CCUGCCCAAAAAGAAAAGAUCCUGAAAGAGUUUAGGGUUCUUGCGGGAAAAGGGCAUAGCCGUACGCCUCUGCCUAUCCUGUCAUCGCUGGAUCCUCCAGAGCCUCCGCCGCCAAUUUGUUUGGCCACUCGAAGAAGUGGCAAAGUGGGCGCCUAUUUGCGUCACUACUUGGGAGCAGGGAGCGGCUGUCACACGACCAGGGUAUUUCGCAAUGACUAAAGAGGAGGCAGCGCGAUUCAUGGAUGGCAGAGCUCCCCAGGCCGAGGGCGCGUUCUCAAGGUGGCAACGCAUUCCAGGAGGGCCGGGCCAUCGAGGCAUUCCAGCGCGAGGCAUUCCAGGAGGAAGGGGACGCCCCUGGCGCUGUUUGGAGGCAAUUCGUAGGUCACAGGGGUAGGGCGAUUUGAUCAGAUGGCACGAAUGAUGCGCGAUCGAUUGUGUGUGCCCAUACACUUGUAAAAACAAAUUUUGGCCGUGGUAUUUUUCCGCCCAGCAUAUUUUCUUUUCUAGUUUUUGAAGAAUAAUGUGGGGAUUCUAGCAUGGCCAUCGAGUUUUGCUUUCCAUUGUUUAUAAGAGCAUGCCGAUGUUUUUUUUCCCUUCUUAAGCUAGAAAAAGAUUGCCUUCGAUAGAAAUAUGCUAAGUGGGAACGUGGACCACUCUUGAGCU
rnacentral:lncRNA from 1 species